GAUGAACGCUGGCGGCGUGCCUAAUACAUGCAAGUCGAGCGAACAGACGAGGAGCUUGCUCCUUCGACGUUAGCGGCAGACGGGUGAGUAACACGUAGGUAACCUACCUAUAAGACUGGGAUAACUUCGGGAAACCGGAGCUAAUACCGGAUAAUAUUUCGAACCGCAUGGUUCGAUAGUGAAAGAUGGCUUUGCUAUCACUUAUAGAUGGACCUGCGCCGUAUUAGCUAGUUGGUAAGGUAACGGCUUACCAAGGCAACGAUACGUAGCCGACCUGAGAGGGUGAUCGGCCACACUGGAACUGAGACACGGUCCAGACUCCUACGAGAGGCAGCAGUAGGGAAUCUUCCGCAAUGGGCGAAAGCCUGACGGAGCAACGCCGCGUGAGUGAUGAAGGUCUUCGGAUCGUAAAACUCUGUUAUUAGGGAAGAACAAACGUGUAAGUAACUGUGCACGUCUUGACGGUACCUAAUCAGAAAGCCACGGCUAACUACGUG
rnacentral:rRNA from 1 species